UACAGAGGGUGCAAGCGUUAAUCGGAAUUACUGGGCGUAAAGCGUGCGUAGACGGUUAUGUAAGUCAGAUGUGAAAGCCCCGGGCUCAACCUGGGAAUUGCAUUUGAGACUGCAUAGCUAGGGUGCGGAAGAGGGAAGCGGAAUUUCCGGUGUAGCGGUGAAAUGCGUAGAUAUCGGAAGGAACACCAGUGGCGAAAGCGGCUUCCUGGUCCAGCACCGGACGUCAGGCACGAAAGCGUGGGGAGCAAACAGG
rnacentral:rRNA from 1 species